rnacentral:rRNA from 1 species
UACGGGGGGGGCAAGCGUUGUUCGGAAUUACUGGGCGUAAAGGGCUCGUAGGCGGCCAACUAAGUCAGACGUGAAAUCCCUCGGCUUAACCGGGGAACUGCGUCUGAUACUGGAUGGCUUGAGGUUGGGAGAGGGAUGCGGAAUUCCAGGUGUAGCGGUGAAAUGCGUAGAUAUCAGGAGGAACACCUGUGGUGUAGACAGCUUACUGGACCAUUUCUGACGCUGAGACACGAAAGCGUGGGUAGCAAACAGG